UACGGAGGGGGCUAGCGUUGUUCGGAAUCAUUGGGCGUAAAGCGGGUGUAGGUGGCUCUAUAAGUCAGGAGUGAAAUCCCCGAGCUUAACUUGGGAAGUGCUUUUGAUACUGCAGAGCUUGAAUGUGGGAGAGGGUAGUGGAAUUCCAGGUGUAGUGGUGAAAUACGUAGAUAUCUGGAGGAACACCGGUGGCGAAGGCGGCUACCUGGCCCAACAUUGACACUGAGACCCGAAAGCAUGGGGAUCAAACAGG
rnacentral:rRNA from 1 species